rnacentral:rRNA from 1 species
CUACGGGGGGCAGCAGUGGGGAAUAUUGGACAAUGGGGGAAACCCUGAUCCGGCAAUGCCGCGUGUGUGAAGAAGGCCUGCGGGUUGUAAAGCACUUUCGGUUGGGAGGACUGCUUCUAGCACUAAUAUUGUUGGAAGUUGACGUUACCUUCAGAAGAAGCACCGGCUAACUCCGUGCCAGCAGCCGCGGUAGUACGGAGGGUGCAAGCGUUAAUCGGAAUUACUGGGCGUAAAGCGCGCGUAGGCGGCUAGAUCAGUCGGGUGUGAAAGCCCCGGGCUUAACCUGGGAACUGCAUCCGAUACUGUCUAGCUUGAGUACAGGAGAGGAGAGUGGAAUUCCACAUGUAGCGGUGAAAUGCGUAGAUAUGUGGAGGAACACCAAUGGCGAAGGCAGCUCUCUGGCCUGAUACUGACGCUGAGGUGCGAAAGCGUGGGGAGCAAACAGGAUUAGAUACCCUCGUAGUC